GCCCACUGUAGUAAAGGUUCUGUGUGACCCUGAUUUAGCCCACUGCAGUAAAGGUUCUGUGUGACCCUGAUUUAUCCCACUGUAGUAAAGGUUCUGUGUGACCCUGAUUUAGCCCACUGCAGUAAAAGGUUCUGUGUGACCCUGAUUUAGCCCACUGUAGUAAAGGUUCUGUGUGACCCUGAUUUAGCCCUCUGUAGUAAAAGGUUCUGUGUGACCCUGAUUCAGCCCACUGUAGUAAAGGUUCCGUGUGACCCUGAUUUAGCCCACUGUAGUAAAGGUUCUGUGUGACCCUGAUUUAGCCCACUGUAGUAAAGGUUCUGUGUGACCCUGAUUUAGCCCACUGUAGUAUAAGGUUCUGUGUGACCCUG
ensembl:lncRNA